CUGGGCUAUGGAGACAUGUAUCCCAAGACGUGGUCUGGGAUGCUGGUUGGGGCACUGUGUGCCCUGGCUGGUGUGCUGACCAUUGCCAUGCCCGUGCCUGUCAUUGUCAACAAC
rfam:Mus musculus chromosome 7, GRC primary reference assembly.